CCUACGGGCGGCAGCAGUGGGGAAUAUUGGACAAUGGGGGCAACCCUGAUCCAGCAAUGCCGCGUGAGUGAAGAAGGCCUUCGGGUUGUAAAGCACUUUUAUCGGGAACGAAACAUUGUCGGCCAAUACCCGGCAAGACUGACGGUACCCGAGGAAUAAGCACCGGCUAACUCCGUGCCAGCAGCCGCGGUAAUACGGAGGGUGCAAGCGUUAAUCGGAAUUAGUGGGCGUAAAUCGUGAGCAGGGCGGUGAAAUCACCGAGCUCAACUUGGGAAUUGCAGUGGAUACUGGCAAGCUGGAGUACGGUAGAGGAAGGUGGAAUUCCCGGUGUAGCAGUGAAAUGCGUAGAGAUCGGGAGGAACACCAGUGGCGAAGGCGGCCUUCUGGACCAGUACUGACGCUCAUGCACGAAAGCGUGGGGAGCAAACAGGAUUAGAUACCCUUGUAGUC
rnacentral:rRNA from 1 species